CAGCAUGGGCGUGAACUUAAACGCUCUGGGUGAUGGAGCAGAAGUCAGCAGAGGUCGUAGUAGCCAAACGCUCAUCGUAAUGGGUGGGAUAGGGUGAAGGAC
rfam:Oscillatoriales cyanobacterium 'hensonii' Contig_153, whole genome shotgun sequence.